rnacentral:rRNA from 1 species
CUACGGGCUGCAGUAGUGGGGAAUAUUGCACAAUGGGCGCAAGCCUGAUGCAGCGACGCCGCGUGGAGGAUGAAGGCUUUCGAGCUGUAAACUCCUGUUAAGUGGGAAGAAAGACUUUGGGUUAAUACCCCAGAGGGAUGACGGUACCACUAGAGAAAGCACCGGCAAACUUCGUGCCAGCAGCCGCGGUAAUACGAAAGGUGCGAGCGUUAUUCGGAGUUACUGGGCGUAAAGAGCAUGUAGGCGGUUUAUUAAGUUAGUUGUUAAAUCUCAUGGCUUAACUGUGAGCUCGCAAUUAAUACUGGUAAGCUGGAGCAUAGAAGAGAGAAGUGGAAUGCCCGGAGUAGCGGUAAAAUGCGUAGAUCUCGGGAGGAACACCGGUUGCGAAGGCGGCUUCUUGGUCUAUUGCUGACGCUAAAGUGCGAAAGCGUGGGGAGCAAACAGGAUUAGAUACCCUAGUAGUC